rnacentral:misc_RNA from 1 species
GUGAAUCAUCGAAUUUUUGAACGCAAAUUGCACUCUCCUCGGAGAGUAUGCCUGUUUGAGGGUCAGCCUAUAAAAAAUCGAAAUCGUUGUUGUUUCGCGGUGGCGUUCGCCGGAAAUUGGGUCAUUUUAAAUCUUUUGGUUUUAAGCGACUUAAAAUUUUCUUUUUGGUUCUAUGAACGUUUCUAAGCUUUAUCUUUUUACACUUUUAAGGUAUCGAUUUUCAUUAGACGUGACUAUU